UACGGGGGGGGGUAAGCGUUGUUCGGAAUUACUGGGCGUAACGGGCUCGUAGGCGGCCAACUAAGUCAGACGUGAAAUCCCUCAGCUUAACUGGGGAACUGCGUCUGAUACUGGAUGGCUUGGAUCCGGGAGAGGGAUGUGGAAUUCCAGGUGUAGCGGUGAAAUGCGUAGAUAUCUGGAGGAACACCGGUGGCGAAGGCGACAUCCUGGACCGGCAUUGACGCUGAGGCGCGAAAGCCAGGGGAGCAAACGGG
rnacentral:rRNA from 1 species